ACGCUCGACACCUACGGGGGGCAGCAGUCGGGAAUAUUGCGCAAUGGAGGAAACUCUGACGCAGUGACGCCGCGUAUAGGAAGAAGGUUUUCGGAUUGUAAACUAUUGUCGUUAGGGAAGAAAAAGGACAGUACCUAAGGAGGAAGCUCCGGCUAACUACGUGCCAGCAGCCGCGGUAAUCUGAGCGGGCUGGCAAGGC
rnacentral:rRNA from 1 species